rnacentral:lncRNA from 1 species
GAGAAAGAAGUGCACAACAAUCCUGGUGGACGUUGACUUUCAAUAUCAAGAUUUUAUAUUUGAAGGAUGAAUUUUAAGAUCAACAGUUUGUAUUUUAAGCUUCCGUUUAUUAAAAAUAAAAUCUAACAUCCUUUAAUUGUUCGAGAGCUGUUUAGUUUUUAAUCAGUUCUAGACGUGCAAUUCUUCGUUUUCAUUUUUUAUGCUCCUCCGUAUUACAGGAAAAAGAGAAGAUGAAUUUUCAGCUUCUUUCUCAAUUGAUGGCACAGCAUAGCAGAUUUCAUUAAGCUCCUGAUAAUCAUAUGAGCUACAAGUUGGAGAAGGAGUAAAGGUGGAAGUAUUGGAUGUGGAAGUCCACGAUGAGAAGUUAAUGCCGUUUCCUAGCAAGAGUUCAUGGUAACUUUGGAGUAGUGACAUCAGAGAUGGCAGCAAGUAGACUGGAUCAAAAUAUACUCGAGGCAAAAAUCAACAAGAUUUGGUAAUGGAUUGGAUAUAAAGGAUGAAGAAUGGAGAGGCAUCAAGAUAAGGGGAUGGAAGGAGAUCAUGUAAUGAAGGACCCUGGUUCUCUGACUCCAGACCUCUCCAUGGCAUCCCCAGGAGCACGAAGGCACAGAGAUUUUAAACCGUCGGCUCAAGAUCACACAGCUACCAGUGGGGAGUAUUUAUAGUUUGAAAGAAGACUAAACGGAGAAAGCAACACUGCGCGGGAAGGCACGGACGGCUGGGUGAGGAGCCGCAGGCCCUGGGGGGACGUCGAUCAGGAUUGAUCCCCUCGCAGCACCCUCCGACACUCUUGCCCUGGAACGGCCUUUGGGAUACAUGCGGAACGUCAGUCCUGUCAGGGAUAUCGUCAAAAGCCAAAUCAAUGAAAAAGGAAAGAUGCCUGUUACUUCACUAAAAAAUUAUAAGACACUGUCCUACUCAUUUUUUCAUUUAUUUAACAAUUAAUUAUUGGGUGGUUGCUAUGUACUAGAGUUAUACCAUCUUUAAUUUUGGGCUCAAUGAAUUGUGCUAAUUUUGGAAAUUAAAACAUAUAAUUCAAAGCAAACAAAAUAAAAAAAUUAAUAAU